UUCUGCUGCAGGGGAAUUAUUAUUAUUUAUUGGUUGCUGUCUGUCUUAGUUCUUUGAGGAACAAUGUCUCAUUUUCCCAGUUAUGUGUGUAUUUGUUAAAAGCAGCACCGACUGUGAGUUUGGCUGAGGUUAUGCUACAGUAACUUAGACGCAGGAUCUGCAUUGAUAAAGCACUCAAUGAACCAGAACUAUUCAGCCACAGGUUAGGCACUCUUCAUUGAGCAAGGCUGGCACCUGAGACAAGGGCUGGUGGUGGCAGUAGCGGGGAUGGAGUUUGGAGACAAACGGACCACCAAUGCUGCCUGUUGCCUAAUGGGAAGCUGCAUGGCAAAAACAUAUCUUUCCCUACUCCAAUCCUAACAACCUUGAUCUGUGAGAAGAUUCUCAGCUUGUAUUAGAGACGGGAGACAGGUUAUUGCAGGCAUGUUACCUCUUGUAUCUGCAGGACUGAAACGUGAUUGAAGCCCAAAGUGACCAAGAUAGAAAGCAGCCGGCAGUGGAGAUUUAUUUUUUUUAAUUAUUUUUAUUUUAAAUUCAGACACUUUGAAUGAGAGCUAUAAACAACAACCCCUCCCAGCAGCCCUUCUCCUUCCGAGUACACUAGGAGAAAUCCCACAGAAGUAGUAACAGAACCAAAGCAAGCUGCCAGCAUGGAGAAGUGGCAGCAUGGCACUCCACCCUCACCCCUCUCCACAACCUUCCACUGAAUGCUGGAGACAAGAACAGAGAAUCUUGUGGUGCUGACUUGUGAUUCAGGAGAUCUGGGAUGAAUUCCUAGCUCAGAUGUAGAGUCCACAUGUGGCCUGAGGCAAGUCACUCAAUUUCUCUGUGCCAGUUUCCCAUGUGAGAAAUAUGAUCUCCUUUGUCUUCCCCCAAUACUCUCUUCCCACCAGUGCCUGAAAACACACCUCAACGUCCUCAUCUCACUGAGUUUGUGGACUAGGAACUGGCAUUUAUGCUGCUGCUGCUGCUGCCGCUGUGUUUCAGCUACAGCUCUCCUCUCAAAUGUAGUUGAAUUCUGUUCCUCCUUUGUUGAUCAACUGAGAAUCAGCCAGUGCACAACAGGUAUGGAGGUGCAACUGAAGGAACUUUGGGAGGUAUUGGUCUGUCAAGAACAUGCUGGAAAAUACUGAAAAUUGAGGACACAGACAGGAAGCCCCCAGUGACCAGACAAACUGACAGAAGUACUGACCGAGAAUUGCCCCUUAAAACCAGAGCAAUCCUAUUAAACCAAUACUUAUCCUAGCCUUCUUUCGUUCAUUACUCCCCCUUGGCUGCAUCACUGACAAGUAAUGAGGUCAGUCAAUUUAUGAAAAUAAAUGUGUCCAGAUAUGCAUUCAGAACCCUGUAUUCAGAUAAAUAUACAUCUGUAGCUAAUAGAUACAGCAAAAAAUCUGAUUGCUAACAAAUGAAAACAGUAGAGAUGGGCUUUAAUCGCAAUAUCCACAUCCAGAUCAGGAUCUGGGCCUUCCUAAACUUUGUUACCAAACCUACAAAAAUAAACUAUAUUUAAACGGUUAUAAACUUCACUGGUCUGAGUAAGGACUAUAGGAUUUGGCCCCAGCAAGUCUGAUGACUCAAGAAAUCUUGGCCAAUUGCUCACCUUUUGGCUAAAUGGUCUCCCUAGAGGAAGAACCUGACUUCAAAUUCUUCAAAAUGAGAUUCUGAUGGAAACUCUGGGACUUGGGAAAUUCUACCACUUCAGUAUAACCCAAAUUAAUUGAUUAGAUAAGUGUUCACUGCUAAUUUGUAAAUCUCCUACUGACAUGUUUAUAUCAUUAAAACAUGUAAGAUUAACACUUAAAUCAUGCAGAAAAAAUAGAUACUAUUGAUUUGGGAAUUACCGUAUAUACUCAUUCAUAAGCCACAUUUUUUUAGUAAAAAAGGGAAGCACCAGAUAUGGGGGUCAGCUUAUGAACAGGUAUAGAGAGGGAGAGGUGGGACACAGUCCCUCCCUCCAACAAAGGGGGCAAGGAGAGGCAGCACAGCCAGCAGAGCCAGAAGGGAUGAUGCAGGGCCAGAGUCUCUCUGCUUCUGGCCACACUGCUGUCCCUCAAGCCAUCGAAGCAGCUGCAGCUCCG